CGAUACUGCAUUGGAAGCCUUCAUAAUUAGAUUCAAUUGGCAAUUUUAAUCGGAAUUUCAUAAGAAGUUGCUUCUAUUGGCCUGGGCUACAGAUGAAAUUGUCGUUCAGAGUUCCAAAAUGUCUACGGCGUUAUAUGAGAGCAAAUGGUAUGACCUUCGCAGCCAAACGAUGAUCCUUAUCAACUUUAUGAUCGUGAGGUGCCAGAAGCCGCUAAGUAUUGAUGUCGGCCCAUUUGGUCCUAUGACGAUGUUCUCGGCAAUGUCCCGAAUUAAGGUGGCGUAUUCUUACACAUCAGUGAUGCUUUAAAUCUUGAGAAAAAGAAAAAUAAGUUUUAUUCCAACAUUUGUUUUCUUCGUAUAACGUUUGGAAUGUACAUAUAGACCGGCGUAAGUUGUACGUUCAACCAAGACUCACUUAGUAUUGUUGAGAUGGAUGAAGAACAAAAUAUAUAAAAUGUAACUAACACAAUUUCAACAAACUACAAAAUACUUUUAAUACUGAACUUCCUUGGUUUGGCACUGAUAUAAAUUACUAAAUGUUUGGUGGAAAAAAGCUCUUCCCCCAUAUCAUGUCACUAUACCCCGGGUUGCUAAGCUGCCAUUCAUUGAAUUUUUACGCUAUAAUAAUAGAAUGUGAAAUGUGAAAGUUGCAGCACUUCUUAAAUGGGGUCAUCCGAAUCACUUUUAAAGGAUCGAUUAAAUAAAUAUAAAUAAUAUUUUUUAUUAAAGAAUGGCCAUAACAGAAAAUUAAAUGAUAUUUACGACAAAAAUUGUAAGCUAAUGGGGUAAAUUUACUGAGUGUAAUACACACACUUGACUUUGGUCUUCUUGUAUUUCACUACAAAUAUUAGCGGGUCUCGAAAUUUCAAACUGCCUCAUUUUUGACAAGUUCGAAAAUCUGACUCUAGGCAAACAACCAUCAUACCAUUUAGCACAACUCAUAUCUGAAAAGAUUCAGUAUUUUUAAUGAAAAUAAAUCGAAAUUAUAUGAUGUAAGUAAACAUUAAAUUAAUAUUUACCUUCAUCAAUAUUGAUAUCUCUUGUUAUCAUUUGUAGUGACCCUAUUUUUGACUGUUUUUCACAGCUUGAUGUUUUCUCUAAUGGAACGCUUUUAUUAUUUGUAGUAUGUUUUUCUUUAAUCUCAACUAUACAACGAAGAAGAGAGAUAAGCGGAGUAUUUAAAGUAAAUUUGUUAAAUUAAAAUAUCUAUCAUCUACACGAGAGAAAAAAAAAUAGUUAAGAAAUUUAUUAAACGAAAUAAGUUGUAAUAUUAUAGAUGUACAUCGGGAUUUUAUUUAAAUUUGUAUGGAAAGGACAGGACAAUUAUACAUACCAAUUUUCAAAUCAGAUAAAAUUUAGUGGUCUGUAUUUUAGAUAAUGAAAUGACAAUGAAAGUCCUAAUAUUUUCACACAAAGAAUCUAUCAUCAACGGGUUGAGCCAUCUUUUCGACUCAUAUUGUCUAUAAAAAAUAUAAAAAAAGACUUACAAUAUAAAAUAAUACAUUUGGCCGUUUAAAAACAUUCACCUGGCAAAAUUUGACAGUAUCCAAUUUUUCGACACUUGUGCACUUUUCGUAUACAUCUUACGAGUGACCCUGUAGAUAAUGCGCAAGAAUAUACGGGUAAACAUUGUACAUUUGACGUUUGAUGAAAUGAACCUGUUGACGAAAUGUUGGUGAAAUGUGGACAAAAUCUGGGAAAAAAUCCAGCGCCAUCAAUUCGAAUAAAAAUUAAUAAAACGUGUAGAAAGGAAUGACCAUACACAUUGAAAGUAUUGUUUUUUUUAAUUCAAUUUUGCUUAUACUUGACUCGAUAAUGUAAUUUGCAGUAGACCUUGAGUAGUAAAAAUAGUGCAAAGAUCCUAUAUCCCCAAAAAUUACAACAAAAAAUCCUCCUCCCCUCCCAAUUAAACUCCUUAAAAUUGAUAAUUCU